rnacentral:tRNA from 1 species
GGUUCCAUAGUAUAACGGUUAGUACACAGGACUCUGAAUCCUGUAAUGGGAGUUCGAUUCUCCCUGGAACCU